CCCUGUUUACUCUAGUUGCAAUUCUCUGAACUUUCUCAAACUCCAUUACGUCUGCCUUGAAGGGAAGUGACCUGGAAUUGUCCAAGCGAUGUCCUCCCCAAAGGCAGAAGGAUGGAUUGAAUAAUUUAUUAAGAAAACAAUUCCGCUUUCCCUGUGGUAGUAAGACCUCUACCUGGGAAGACCUAGGACUGAGAAAUCUGCUCUGCCUGGCCUGCUGACUUGCAAAUCAACCUCUCCUGCCCAGACACAUGAGCCAAGCCUACUUCUGUAUUUCUGAGCAUCUUCAACUCCCUUCCAUUUACCAAUCUUCCCUGUCUGCACCUGCCACUCAAAGCCUGCUAAACAGGAAUGGGAGAAUCUGCUUCCCAGACCCUUCACCUCCUCCAAUUUCACAUCCAAGUAGACUCCCUUCUUAACUUCCCCACUGGUAAUUAAGACCAGAUUCAACCUGCAACUUCAGGCCCUCCAUUCACCAAGUCCUGUUGAUUUUACAUCCUACCUGCCUUCUGUGCAAUUGGAGUAAUGGCCGUACUCCCUUCCCUGUGUUGUGGAGAUCAGAUAAGGCUACCGUUAGGCAGCAGCCAGAAGAGGGCCCAGUGUUAGGCCACCCCUGUGCCAGAAUCACACCUCUCCCAGCAGCCAUCCAGGGGGAUCCCAGAACAUGUGUAGCUCCUGUCAAGAUCCCUCGGUCCCUCCCAAUCUGCCAGGGCUGACCUCACCAUGUCCCCUAUCCUCACUGAUGUCCCUCCCCAUGAGACCCCCAGGUGACCUCUCAUCCCUGGGAGUCUAAUGCCCACCCUAUUUCCUGACCUCAUCUGGCAUUCCUCCCCAUCUCCGGCCCUCUGGAACUUGGGUCAGUCAUCGGCAGAAUCUUCCUUUCACUCUAUCUCCUCGGAGUGUUCCUUUCACCUCCCUAACUGAAACUUGGCUCUGUCCCCUAGGGACACUGCUUCCCCUGCAGCCUCUGCAGUGGUGGUUGGAUCUCUUCCAUGGGGCUGGAGGUGGGAUGGAGCUCUUUUUGCUCCUUGUUGCUACCUCUAGACCAGGCUCCAGUCAUUGUUACCACAUUUUGAUCAUUUUGAUAUCUGUCUCACCUUCACUUUCCCCAGAAUCUUAGUCUUAGUCAUCUCAAAGGACACACAGAUCAGCUUUCCAACGCUCUGAUUUCUCCUCCAAUGACCCUGUCCUCCACCUACCGGACCUCAAUUGCUCACCCCCACGGCCUUACCUUAGACAAGCACUGGCCAAAGGAACUUCGGGAGCUCAUGAUGGAAAUAUUUAAUCUACUCUGUCCGGAUGGCAUAGCCUUAGUCACAAGUGGUUGGUUGCUAAACACCUGAAAUGUGACUAGUGCAACAGAAGGAAACAGGUUAUAAAUUUUAUUUAAUGUUUAACUAAUUUAAAUGUGAAGCAUCUAUCUAUGCUUGUAUUCUCCUUGUGCUGUCCUGCUUCUAUAGCUGAACUUAGCUCUAUGCUAAGAUCAACUCGCUUCCAGCGUCUUAGAGCCCGCCCCUCUCACUACUAAAUUCUCCCCCCUUUCUUCAUCAGUUUCUCGGUCUCCACAAGGUCAUUUCCAUCAGCUACACACAUACUGUUGUCUCUCCUGUCUUAAGAAAAAUCUCCCCAUCUCCCCAUCUUGGGACCCCAGCUCCCCAUCUUGCACUGCUGUAUUCCCCUCAUUCUCUAGAGCAAAACUCCCAGAGAGAAUGGUCUACACUCACAGACACCAACCUCUCUCCUCCUAUUAUUGCUUGAAUCUCCACUCAGAAAGUGCUCUUGACAUAGUACCCAUGACCCCGUAUUGAUAAAUCCAGUAAUUAUUUCCCAACCCUCAUCUAACUUGAUCUAUCAGCAGCAUUGUACGGAUUCUUGACUCUCUUCUCCUUGGAACUCUUUCUUCACUUGGCUUUCAGGACAGCACGCUUGCCUGGUCUUUCUCCCGCCUUUCUGGCUGCUCCAUCUUUCUGUCCUGUAAUAGCUUCUUCUUCAAUUCUACAACCUCUGAAUGUCAGCAGGCCCAGGGGUUAGUCCUGGGACCCUUUCAUUUUUCUACCUAUUCGCUCCUUAGCCGAUCUCACCCAGUCUCAUGGCUUUAAACAUCACCUACAUGCUGAAAAUUCCUGCAUUUUUAUAUCUCCAAUGCAGACCACUCCUCUGAAGUCCAGCCCAAAUUAUCCAGCUGCCAACUUGACAUCCCUAAUCUAACAGGUCCCAAACUGAACUCCCAAUGUCUGCUUCCCUGCAAAAAUAGCUUGCUCUUCCUACAGUCUUCUCCAUGUCAGUUAAAGCCAAUUCCAUUUUUUUCCAGCAGCUCAGCCAAAACCAUUAGAAAUACCCUUGGUGUCUCUCUCUCGAUCGUGUACACACACACACACACACACACACACACACGCGCGCGCGCGCACACACUAUAUCUGAUCCAUUAGCAAAUUUUAUAGACUUUGUGUAUCUUCAACUGUAACCGGAAAGUGAUCACUUCUCAUCACCUGCAUUGCAACCACUGUGUUCGGAGCCACCAUCGUCUCUCUCCUGGAUUACAGCACUAGUGGUUUCUCUGAUCCUGCCCUUGUUUCUGCAAUCUAGUCUCAAAAAUCAGAAAAAAUUCAAGUUACAUCAUGUCACUCUUCUGCUCAGCAUGUUCCAGUGACAGUCACUCGGAGUAAAAACCAAAGUUCUUAUCAUGGCUUUCAAGGUCCCAUGAGACUGGGACCCUAUUAUUGCUUUUACCACUUUCAUAAUUUCUCUUCCCCUCCUUCACCUGAGACUGGCCAAACCAACCUUCCCACUGCUACUGGAACUUAUCACGUAUGCUCCUGCCUCCGGGACUUUGCACCUGCUAUUCUCUCUGAAUGGAAGACUCUUCCCCAGAUAUCUUUGUGGCUAGGUCCCUCAUUCCUUUAGGUCUAUUCAAAUCUCACCUUUUAUUGAGGUCUUUAUGGACUCUGCUAUCUAAGAUUUUUACACCCCUCCUCAACACUGCAUUUUCCCUUUUCCUGCAUUAUUUUUUCCCUUUAGCUCUUAGCACUAUCUAACUAUUUUUUUUUAAUUUAGCUUUUUUAUUGUCUGUCUCCCCAAGUAGAAUAUAAGCUCUAUGAGAGCAAGGAUUUUUGUUGGUUUUUUUAUUCACUGCUAUCUCUGGAUCUGUGUCUGUGAUAUAGCAGAAACUCAGCUAUUUAUUGAAUGAAUUAAUAAAAUAAUUCCCAUCGCA